rnacentral:rRNA from 1 species
GAUGAACGCUGGCGGCGUGCCUAAUACAUGCAAGUCGAGCGAACAGACGAGGAGCUUGCUCCUCUGACGUUAGCGGCGGACGGGUGAGUAACACGUGGAUAACCUACCUAUAAGACUGGGAUAACUUCGGGAAACCGGAGCUAAUACCGGAUAAUAUGUUGAACCGCAUGGUUCAAUAGUGAAAGACGGUUUUGCUGUCACUUAUAGAUGGAUCCGCGCCGCAUUAGCUAGUUGGUAAGGUAACGGCUUACCAAGGCAAUGAUGCGUAGCCGACCUGAGAGGGUGAUCGGCCACACUGGAACUGAGACACGGUCCAGACUCCUACGGGAGGCAGCAGUAGGGAAUCUUCCGCAAUGGGCGAAAGCCUGACGGAGCAACGCCGCGUGAGUGAUGAAGGUCUUCGGAUCGUAAAACUCUGUUAUUAGGGAAGAACAAAUGUGUAAGUAACUAUGCACGUCUUGACGGUACCUAAUCAGAAAGCCACGGCUAACUACGUG